CUUGGACCGGAAAUAAAUAGUACGCUUUUGCGAGAAGCUUUUAGCGUAAACGGUGAAGUCAUUGAAGCUAAAGCAGUGAUGGAUAGAAAAAGUGGGAGGUGUAGAGGUUAUGGCUUUGUUGAAUUUGCAAACUAUCGCUCUGCUUGGACUUCACUCGACACCAUGGAUCAGUGGGAGUUGUAUGGUCGGACGGUGAUUGUGAGGUGGGCCAAGGAUAGUCGUGACGAGUAUACAUUGGAGGAUGCUAUUGCGGAUGGUUGUGGGGAUAUAUUUAACUGGAAGGAAGAUGAGGAUAAGGAUGAGG